AGAGUUUGAUCCUGGCUCAGGACGAACGCUGGCGGCGUGCCUAAUACAUGCAAGUAGAACGCUGAAGACUUUAGCUUGCUAAAGUUGGAAGAGUUGCGAACGGGUGAGUAACGCGUAGGUAACCUGCCUACUAGCGGGGGAUAACUAUUGGAAACGAGAGCUAAUACCGCAUAACAGCAUUUAACCCAUGUUAGAUGCUUGAAAGGAGCAAUUGCUUCACUAGUAGAUGGACCUGCGUUGUAUUAGCUAGUUGGUGAGGUAACGGCUCACCAAGGCGACGAUACAUAGCCGACCUGAGAGGGUGAUCGGCCACACUGGGACUGAGACACGGCCCAGACUCCUACGGGAGGCAGCAGUAGGGAAUCUUCGGCAAUGGGGGCAACCCUGACCGAGCAACGCCGCGUGAGUGAAGAAGGUUUUCGGAUCGUAAAGCUCUGUUGUAAGAGAAGAACGUGUGUGAGAGUGGAAAGUUCACACAGUGACGGUAACUUACCAGAAAGGGACGGCUAACUACGUGCCAGCAGCCGCGGUAAUACGUAGGUCCCGAGCGUUGUCCGGAUUUAUUGGGCGUAAAGCGAGCGCAGGCGGUUUAAUAAGUCUGAAGUUAAAGGCAGUGGCUUAACCAUUGUUCGCUUUGGAAACUGUUAGACUUGAGUGCAGAAGGGGAGAGUGGAAUUCCAUGUGUAGCGGUGAAAUGCGUAGAUAUAUGGAGGAACACCGGUGGCGAAAGCGGCUCUCUGGUCUGUAACUGACGCUGAGGCUCGAAAGCGUGGGGAGCAAACAGGAUGAGAUACCCUGGUAGUCCACGCCGUAAACGAUGCCUUUAAGGUGUUAAGCCCCUUUCCGGGGCUUAGGGCCGCACCUAACGCAUUAAGCACUC
rnacentral:rRNA from 1 species